rnacentral:lncRNA from 1 species
CCUACACCAACAAAGAGCAGGUAGCGUGGCUUUCUUUUUUCUUUAAAGUAGUUUUAGCAGAUCCACUAUUGUUGUUGUUUAGUACAUGUUUUCAGUCAAGUCCAAGAAACAAUUACAAUCUUCGAGUCACAUGACAUGUAUAUAUAUACACACACACAACAACAACAACAACAACAAUUUGGUUUAACUAGUUGGUCUGGUUUGACCUUGUAAACCUGAUCUUUUAAAUGAAAAACAUGGAUAUAAAAAAUCCUGUAGAAUGAACUGAAGAAUUCAGUACUUUUGCCCACACAAUCUUUUAAUCAAUUUGGAAACAUCUACUGAAUACCUUUGGCCGGUUGUUACUGGAUUUUGUUUCUCUGGUGGGAGAAUGGUGCAUGAAUGCUGAGGAAGGUAUCCCAAGUGUUUUUCUUUUAGAAUAUGUAUUUUUAUCCAUCCCAAGUGCAUGAAAUCCAGAAUCUUAUUCUUUUGAAGUAUGGAUUGUCUGAUUUUCCAUCAUGCUUUAUUUUUCUAAUAUUUAAAUUGAGCUUUGCUGGUUAUAUUACUGAGCAUAAUUUGAGCAUUGUGUGUACUAAUCUGAUAGAUCAUUUUUUUCUUUUUAAAAAGAACAUUGUUGUGAUAUUGGUCGCAAAGCUAGUCGUUUUAGUGAUUCAUGUACCUCGUCCUUUCUCAUUACAGGAU